ACAUGGAGAAACCCCGUCUCUACUAAAAAUACAAAAUUAGCAGGGCGUGUUGGCGCAUGCCUGUAAUCCCAGCUACUCAGGACGCUGAGGCAGGAGAAUUACUUGAACCCGGGAGGCGCCAUUGCACUCCAGGAUGGGCAACAAGAGCGAGACUCCAUCUCAAAAUUAAAAAAAAAAGAUAUGCUACAUCCAAGACCAAACUGAAGGAAGAGCUGACCAGCCAAUGAAUUCUACACAAAUAAUUGUAAGAAAACACAACACAUUUAGGUUCAGUUAUAAAUUUUUAAAAUUUUCUUUUUUGUGUCUUCUACUUUUCAAAUGUUCUAUGUAAUAUGUGUUCAUAUGGUGGUACCAAAAGAUCUGAAAAUACAGGUGAACUUCAGGGUGUGCACACUGUGGUUAUUUAAUAUAUCUGUGUGAGCAGCAGAUAUAUCUUUGUACAAUAGAAGAUGUUGAGUGUGAGCAAUUCUAUGUCUAUGGCUUUACUCCGGACACAACAGUGAUUCUUAACCAAGGAUGAUUCUGUUUCCUAUUCCGCACACUGCAGGGACAUGUGGCAAUAUCUGGAGACAUUUGUGAUGGUCACAGCUAGGGAGGGUGCUCCUACUAUCUAGUGGAUGAGGGCCAGCGAUGCUGCUAAACAUCUUGCAAGGCACAGGGCAGCUCCCACAGCAAAGGAUUCUCUUGUCCAAAAUAUUAACAGUGCCAAGAUUGAGAAACACUGGUGCACAGACUCUGAGAUGGAUGAUUUUCAAAUUGCCUGAGGUGUGGGCAACCCAGGAAGUGCACAAGGCAAUCUAUUGAGAUGAAAGAAAAAAAAAUGUUCCUUUUCCAUUUGUAUUAAUUUUUAUCCCAAAAUGUUGUAUUAAUUUUUAUUCAUACUUAAAGUGUAGGUUGAUGCAUUUCUCUUUACACGGGCUGAGUGCCCCUCCAGUCACAUGUCACGCUUAGCCUGAAGUGUCCUGAGGGAUGAGAGAGAAAAUCACUGCAUGGAUGGGGACACAAUGGCCCCCAUUUGUUUGCCUGCCUCCCAGCACAUUGUGACAUCCUGCAGUUUCCAAGGGCCAGGUCAAGUGCAUUUAUGGAUGACAUUAUCCAAUUUCAACUCAGCUACCUUUCACAACAUCACCUAACUUUAAAAGACAAAUCAAGCCAGGUGCGGUGGCUCAUGCCUGUAAUCCCAGCACUUUGGGAGGCUGAGGUGGGUGGAUCACCUGAGAUCAGGGGUUUGAGACCAGCCUGGCCAACAUGGUGAAACCCCAUCUCUACUAAAGAUACAAAAAAUUAGCCACGCAUGGUGGCGCACACUGUAAUCCCAGCUACUUGGGAGGCUGAUGUAGGAGAAUCACUUGAACCUGGGAGGUGGAAGUUGUAGGGAACUGAGAUCGUGCCAUCAAACUCUAGCCUGGGUGACAGGGCGAGACUCUGUCUCAAAAAAAAAAAAAAA
rnacentral:lncRNA from 1 species